ensembl:miRNA MIR668 microRNA 668
AGAAGGCAGUGCCCUCAGCACUCCCCUAAGGUAAGUGCGCCUCGGGUGAGCAUGCACUUAAUGUGGGUGUAUGUCACUCGGCUCGGCCCACUACCCAACGCUAUCCCACCC